rnacentral:rRNA from 1 species
AUGCAAGUCGAACGCUGAAGCCCAGCUUGCUGGGUGGAUGAGUGGCGAACGGGUGASCUAMCACGUGAGUAACCUGCCCCCUUCUUUGGGAUAACGCCCGGAAACGGGUGCUAAUACUGGAUAUUCACUGGCCUUCGCAUGGGGGUUGGUGGAAAGGUUUUUUCUGGUGGGGGAUGGGCUCGCGGCCUAUCAGCUUGUUGGUGGGGUGAUGGCCUACCAAGGCUUUGACGGGUAGCCGGCCUGAGAGGGUGACCGGUCACAUUGGGACUGAGAUACGGCCCAGACUCCUACGGGAGGCAGCAGUGGGGAAUAUUGCACAAUGGGCGAAAGCCUGAUGCAGCGACGCCGCGUGAGGGAUGACGGCCUUCGGGUUGUAAACCUCUUUCGCUCAUGGUCAAGCCGCAACAGUGGUUGUGGUGAGGGUAGUGGGUAAAGAAGCGCCGGCUAACUACGUGCCAGCCGCCGGSGKUAAAA